rnacentral:rRNA from 1 species
AGUGAACGCUGGCGGUAGGCCUAACACAUGCAAGUCGAACGGCAGCACAGGAGAGCUUGCUCUCUGGGUGGCGAGUGGCGGACGGGUGAGGAAUACAUCGGAAUCUACUUUUUCGUGGGGGAUAACGUAGGGAACAUUACGCUAAUACCGCAUACGACCUACGGGUGAAAGCAGGGGACCUUCGGCCCUUGCGCGAUUGAAUGAGCCGAUGUCGGAUUAGCUAGUUGGCGGGGUAAAGGCCCACCAAGGCGACGAUCCGUAGCUGGUCUGAGAGGAUGAUCAGCCACACUGGAACUGAGACACGGUCCAGACUCCUACGGGAGGCAGCAGUGGGGAAUAUUGGACAAUGGGCGCAAGCCUGAUCCAGCCAUACCGCGUGGGUGAAGAAGGCCUUCGGGUUGUAAAGCCCUUUUGUUGGGAAAGAAAUCCAGCUGGCUAAUACCCGGUUGGGAUGACGGUACCCAAAGAAUAAGCACCGGCUAACUUCGUGCCAGCCGCCGCCGUAA